CACCAAUCAAAAAAUGACCAUAGAAUUUUUAUGUUGCCUUUUAGGUCUUAUUGUAUAGUUGGACAGUCGUGUUUUUGUAUUACAACCAGUUUUUGUAGGAAUAGAAAAAAAUUUUUUUUUUUUUUAUACCCUAAGUUAUAGUAAACUAAUAACAUGCACAUUUAAAGACAAAAUAACAGUCGAUUAAAAUAUUAACAUUAACACCUAAUAAGCGACGUUU